rnacentral:rRNA from 1 species
GAUGAACGCUGGCGGCGUGCUUAACACAUGCAAGUCGAACGGUGAAGCAGAGCUUGCGCUGUGGAUCAGUGGCGAACGGGUGAGUAACACGUGAGCAACCUGCCCCUGUCUCUGGGAUAAGCGCUUUAAAGGGCGCCGAGUACUGGACAUGAGCUGCGUCCGCAUGGUCAGCAGUUGGAAAGAUUUCUCUGUCUGGGAUGGGCUCACGGCCUAUCAGCUUGUUGGUGAGGUAUUGGCUCACCAAGGCGUAGAAGGGUAGCCGGCCUGAGAGGGUGACCGGCCACCCUGCGACUACGAGACGGCCCAGACUCCUACGGGCGGCAGCAGUGGGGAACAUUGCACAAUGGGCGCACGCCUGAUGCAGCAACGCCGCGUGCGGGAUGCUGGCCUUCGGGUUGUAAACCUCUUUCAGCAGGGAUGAAGCGAAAGUGACGGUACCUGCAGAAAAAGCGCCGGCUAACUACGUG